rnacentral:rRNA from 1 species
AGCCUGGCCGGCAGGCCUAACACAUGCAAGUCGAGCGGUAACAGAAAGUAGCUUGCUACUUUGCUGACGAGCGGCGGACGGGUGAGUAAUGCUUGGGAACAUGCCUUGAGGUGGGGGACAACAGUUGGAAACGACUGCUAAUACCGCAUAAUGUCUACGGACCAAAGGGGGCUUCGGCUCUCGCCUUUAGAUUGGCCCAAGUGGGAUUAGCUAGUUGGUGAGGUAAUGGCUCACCAAGGCGACGAUCCCUAGCUGGUUUGAGAGGAUGAUCAGCCACACUGGGACUGAGACACGGCCCAGACUCCUACGGGAGGCAGCAGUGGGGAAUAUUGCACAAUGGGCGCAAGCCUGAUGCAGCCAUGCCGCGUGUGUGAAGAAGGCCUUCGGGUUGUAAAGCACUUUCAGUCAGGAGGAAAGGUUAGUAGUUAAUACCUGCUAGCUGUGACGUUACUGACAGAAGAAGCACCGGCUAACUCCGUGCCAGCAGCCGCGGUAAUACGGAGGGUGCGAGCGUUAAUCGGAAUUACUGGGCGUAAAGCGUACGCAGGCGGUUUGUUAAGCGAGAUGUGAAAGCCCC